rnacentral:lncRNA from 1 species
GGACUCAUUCUGCUAACACGUGAGACUGCUUACCACUCCCUGGAGGCUCUGUCAUCCUCCACCAUCCCCUCUGGGCCUACAUUUUUGACUCUAAAUUCCAUCUUCUUGGCCAGAGCACCUAGUUCUCCUGCCUAGGAAUGUGCCAUUGUAGUGCAGGGCACUCGAGAGUAGGGACCUCAAUCCAGCAUGACUCAAGCAUCUAUACUUCAAGAACCCAAGAGACUGGAAAACACUGGAAAAAGGUCCUGACUGCCUGCUCAAGUAUGGGCUUCUCUGGUGAUCCACUCUCCCAGGUGAUGGGGUGAAUCUGUCAAGAAUGAGGCUAAGGUGGGUGUGGGGGGCUUUCUGCUGCUGGGACCUGCUUUCUUUUCCUCCCUGGUGGUUCUUUGGCUA